rnacentral:rRNA from 1 species
ACUCCUACGGGAGGCAGCAGUGGGGAAUUUUGGACAAUGGGCGAAAGCCUGAUCCAGCAAUGCCGCGUGUGUGAAGAAGGCCUUCGGGUUGUAAAGCACUUUUGUCCGGAAAGAAAUCCUUGGCUCUAAUACAGUCGGGGGAUGACGGUACCGGAAGAAUAAGCACCGGCUAACUACGUGCCAGCAGCCGCGGUAAUACGUAGGGUGCGAGCGUUAAUCGGAAUUACUGGGCGUAAAGCGUGCGCAGGCGGUUUGCUAAGACCGAUGUGAAAUCCCCGGGCUCAACCUGGGAACUGCAUUGGUGACUGGCAGGCUAGAGUAUGGCAGAGGGGGGUAGAAUUCCACGUGUAGCAGUGAAAUGCGUAGAGAUGUGGAGGAAUACCGAUGGCGAAGGCAGCCCCCUGGGCCAAUACUGACGCUCAUGCACGAAAGCGUGGGGAGCAAACAGGAUUAGAAACCCUGGUAGUCCCA